UAUCUCAGGUAUCCUGAUCCUAAGCCAUGAAGAGCUUUAAAAGUGAUAUUCAGCAUCUUGAAUUGGAUUAUGUUUCACCACCCUUAUAGCCAUGAGAACAAUGUACAGUGCUUACAUGAAAGAUGCUUGAAAGUAAGUAUCAGCAAGCAAAAAAUACUCGACUUGAUGCUGUUAUUUGUGAAACCCAGGUUCGGUCCACCAGGAAUUCUUCGUAAAGCUUUCCUAACUCUGUGGCAAGCAAAAGCUUUUUACUCCUUUCUGAAUUUGCUAUUUAUGUGUUAUUAACAAGAAGCUGGAAAUGAAUUGUCUGGUGAAACAUUUUCUUCCUAAUGUCUCAUGACGGAGACAUAGAAGGGUAUGAAUAUCUGUGCAUUUAUAAUAAACAUAAUAUAUGUUA